UGGGGAAUUUUGGACAAUGGGGGCAACCCUGACCCAGCAACGCCGCGUGAAGGACGAAGUCUUUCGGGAUGUAAACUUCGUAAGAAUAGGAAGAAUAAAUGACGGUACUAUUUGUAAGGUCCGGCUAACUACGUGCCAGCAGCCGCGGUAAUACGUAGGGACCAAGCGUUGUUCGGAUUUACUGGGCGUAAAGGGCGCGUAGGCGGCGUGGUAAGUCACUUGUGAAAUCUCCGAGCUUAACUCGGAACGGUCAAGUGAUACUGCUGUGCUAGAGUGCAGAAGGGGCAAUCGGAAUUCUUGGUGUAGCGGUGAAAUGCGUAGAUAUCAAGAGGAACACCUGAGGUGAAGACGGGUUGCUGGGCUGACACUGACGCUGAGGCGCGAAAGCUAGGGUAGCAAAC
rnacentral:rRNA from 1 species